UCGCCAUCCAAUGGCCAAUGGCCAAUGGCCUUCAUUUAUCUUCCUCAGCCGCAGCUGCUGCCGCUUCUUCCUCAGCUUGUUAAGCAUAAUUAAAAUCGCAGAGCGGGAUGGCGAGAGGCGCGAAAGGGACGGAGCUAGUGACUCUUCUUUCGGGCCAAAUUGAAUUUUUCGUUGCACCCGACAGCGAUAUUAGGAUUCGCUGCAGAGGACUCAAAAGUGCUUUUUCGAACGGAAGCCUCCGCACAUCUCGACUUUAAUGAGUGAAUGAGGGUUGCUUUUGCUUUUGAGUUUGCGUUAUGCAAAUGCUUUAGCCC